UUCUCAUUCAUACAAGUUGAUUA
rnacentral:snRNA from 1 species